AGGUAAUUAGUUUAAGUAAAAUAUUUGAUUUCGGCUCGAAAGAUUGUGGUUCAAGUCCACCAUUGCCUG
rnacentral:tRNA from 1 species